rnacentral:rRNA from 1 species
GAUGAACGCUGGCGGCGUGCCUAAUACAUGCGAGUCGAGCGAACAGAUGAGGAGCUUGCUCCUCUGACGUUAGCGGCGGACGGGUGAGUAAAACGUGGAUAACCUACCUAUAAGACUGGGAUAACUUCGGGAAACCGGAGCUAAUACCGGAUAAUAUAUUGAACCGCAUGGUUCAAUAGUGAAAGACGGUUUUGCUGUCACUUAUAGAUGGAUCCGCGCCGCAUUAGCUAGUUGGUAAGGUAACGGCUUACCAAGGCCACGAUGCGUAGCCGACCUGAGAGGGUGAUCGGCCACACUGGAACUGAGAGACGGUCCAGACUCCUACGGGAGGCAUCAGUAGGGAAUCUUGCGCAAUGGGCGAAAGCCUGACGGAGCAACGCCGCGUGAGUGAUGAAGGGCUUCGGAUCGUAAAACGCUGUUAUGAGGGAAGAACAAAUGUGUAAGUAACUAUGCACGUCUUGACGGUACUUAAUCAGAAAGCCACGGCUAACUACGUG